GAUGAACGCUGGCGGCGUGCCUAACACAUGCAAGUCGAACGGAUUCCCGCCUUUAAGACCUUCGGGUCAAAGAGGGGAAGACUGAGUGGCGGACGGGUGAGUAACACGUUGGCAACCUGGCUCAUAGAGGGGGAUAACAGAGAGAAAUUUCUGCUAAUACCGCAUAAGCACACCCUGCCGCAUGGCAGUGGGUGAAAAGAGAAUUGCUAUGGGAUGUACCCGCGUCUCAUUAGCCAGUUGGCAGGGUAAGAGCCUACUAAAGCGACGAUAAGUAGCCGAAAAGAGAGGAUGGGCCGAGACAUUGGGACUGAGAAACGGCCGAGAAUACUACGGGAGGCAGCAGUGGGGGAUAUUGCAAAAUGGGGGGAGUCCUGAUGCAGCGAGGACGCGAGAGUGAAGAAGUAUUUCGGUAUGUAAAGCUCGAUCAGCAGGGAAGAUAAUGACAGUACCUGAAUAAGAAGCCCCGGCUAACUACGUG
rnacentral:rRNA from 1 species